GACGAACGCUGGCGGCGUGCUUAACACAUGCAAGUCGAACGGAAAGGCCCUGCUUUUGUGGGGUGCUCGAGUGGCGAACGGGUGAGUAACACGUGAGUAACCUGCACUUGACUUUGGGAUAACUCCAGGAAACUGGGGCUAAUACAGGAUAGGAGCUCCUGCUGCAUGGUGGGGGUUGGAAAGAUUCGGCGGUUGGGGAUGGACUCGCGGCUUAUCAGCUUGUUGGUGGGGUAGUGGCUUACCAAGGCUUUGACGGGUAGCCGGCCUGAGAGGGUGACCGGCCACAUUGGGACUGAGAUACGGCCCAGACUCCUACGGGAGGCAGCAGUGGGGAAUAUUGCACAAUGGGCGGAAGCCUGAUGCAGCAACGCCGCGUGCGGGAUGACGGCCUUCGGGUUGUAAACCGCUUUCGCCUGUGACGAAGCGUGAGUGACGGUAAUGGGUAAAGAAGCACCGGCUAACUACGUG
rnacentral:rRNA from 1 species